GCAACAGCACACAGUGUGGCACCAGUCUCCACCGUAGCUCAGGCAGAGCUACGAGGGAAGUCACAUGCUAUGUCCGCGACCAAAUGCGACUUCACCAUUCUGCCUGCCAUACUGUUUUUCAGGUAAUGUUUGUUUCCCUUUUGGUUGUACUGUAUAAAGUUUUUCAUGUCAUUUUUCAUAUGGCUGGUUGUGUUUGUUGCUGGCGUGUGUCCGCGGUUCUUCGUGGCCGCCAUUGCUGUGCGUUGCGCAGCCGUUCUGCUGCGUGUGAUGCGUUCGGCGGCAUCACGUAAAUAGCAGUGUGUGUGCAUCUUUCCUUUUUUUUGUAAAUAAUCACUAUACGAUCACCCAUGUUUUGUAUUUGGUCUUGUUGUUUAUUUUCUUUUGCUAAGACGAUGAGGUAGCUCAGGCAGAGCUACGAGGGAAGUCACAUACUAUGUCCGCGACCAAAUGCGACUUCACCAUUCUCCCUGCCAUACUGUGUUUCAGCAAU